rnacentral:misc_RNA from 1 species
GAAAUGCGAUAAGUAAUGUGAAUUGCAGAAUUCAGUGAAUCAUCGAAUCUUUGAACGCACAUUGCGCCCGGCAGCAAUCUGCCGGGCAUGCCUGUCCGAGCGUCAUUUCUGCCCUCGAGCCCGGUUCGGCCCCUAGCGGGCCGGCCGCCGCCCGGUGUUGGGGCGCUGCGGGCCCUCGUGCCCGCAGGCCCCGAAAUGAAGUGGCGGUCCCGCCGCGGCGCCCCCUGCGUAGUAGUAAAGCACCUCGCAUCGGGUCCCGGCGGAGGCCAGCCGUCGAACCUCUCUUUUGAUGGUUUGACCUCGGAUCAGGUAGUGUUACCCGCUGAACUUAAGC